UGCCAGCCUCCUCGGUAAUACUGAGUGUCCAAUCGUGAAUCGGAAUUAUUAGGUUUAAAGGGUGUGUAGGCGGACUUUUAAGUCAGUGGUGAAAUCCCGGGGCUCAACUCCGGAACUGCCAUUGAUACUGAAGGUCUUGAGUACAGUUGAAGUAGGCGGAAUGUGUAAUGUAGCGGUGAAAUGCUUAGAUAUUACACAGAACACCGAUUGCGAAGGCAGCUUACUAAGCUGUUACUGACGCUGAUGCACGAAAGCGUGAGGAGCGAACGGGAUUAGAUA
rnacentral:rRNA from 1 species